UUACUGGGCGUAAAGCGAGCGUAGGUGGCUUGAUAAGUCAGAUGUGAAAUCCCCGGGCUUAACCUGGGAACUGCAUCUGAAACUGUUAGGCUAGAGUAGGUGAGAGGGAAGUAGAAUUUCAGGUGUAGCGGUGAAAUGCGUAGAGAUCUGAAGGAAUACCGAUGGCGAAGGCAGCUUCCUGGCAUCAUACUGACACUGAGGCUCGAAAGCGUGGGUAGCAAACAGGAUUAGAUACCCUGGUAGUCCACGCCGUAAACGAUGUCUACUAGUCGUUGGGUCCCUUGAGGACUUAGUGACGCAGCUAACGCAAUAAGUAGACCGCCUGGGGAGUACGGCCGCAAGGUUAAAACUCAAAUGAAUUGACGGGGGCCCGCACAAGCGGUGGAGCAUGUGGUUUAAUUCGAUGCAACGCGAAGAACCUUACCUGGUCUUGACAUAUCUAGAAUCCUGCAGAGAUGCGGGAGUGCCUUCGGGAAUUAGAAUACAGGUGCUGCAUGGCUGUCGUCAGCUCGUGUCGUGAGAUGUUGGGUUAAGUCCCGCAACGAGCGCAACCCUUGUCCUUAGUUACCAGCGGGUUAAGCCGGGAACUCUAAGGAUACUGCCAGUGACAAACUGGAGGAAGGCGGGGACGACGUCAAGUCAUCAUGGCCCUUACGACCAGGGCUACACACGUGCUACAAUGGUAGGUACAGAGGGCAGCUACACAGCGAUGUGAUGCGAAUCUCAAAAAGCCUAUCGUAGUCCAGAUUGGAGUCUGCAACUCGACUCCAUGAAGUAGGAAUCGCUAGUAAUCGCGGAUCAGAAUGCCGCGGUGAAUACGUUCCCGGGCCUUGCACACACCGCCCGU
rnacentral:rRNA from 1 species